GAUGAACGCUGGCGGCGUGCUUAACACAUGCAAGUCGAACGGAAAGGCCCAAGCUUGCUUGGGUACUCGAGUGGCGAACGGGUGAGUAACACGUGGGUGAUCUGCCCUGCACUUCGGGAUAAGCCUGGGAAACUGGGUCUAAUACCGGAUAGGACGAUGGUUUGGAUGCCAUUGUGGAAAGUUUUUUCGGUGUGGGAUGAGCUCGCGGCCUAUCAGCUUGUUGGUGGGGUAAUGGCCUACCAAGGCGUCGACGGGUAGCCGGCCGGUGAGGGUGUACGGCCACAUUGGGACUGAGAGACGGCCCAGACUCCUACGGGAGGCAGCAGGGGGGAAUAUUGCACAAUGGGCGCAAGCCUGAGGCAGCGACGCCGCGUGGGGGAUGACGGCCUUCGGGUUGUAAACUCCUUUCGCUAGGGACGAAGCGUUUUUGUGACGGUACCUGGAGAAGAAGCACCGGCUAACUACGUG
rnacentral:rRNA from 1 species